UGUAUAGGAAAGCUAAUCGCAU
rnacentral:snRNA from 1 species